AGUAACUUGCAUGCACUAAAAGAGUAAAUAUCUUAGAAUGGAUCUGGUUCUCUUCCUAUUUCUUCAUGUAUUUCUGUGUAGAGUUUGUCUCCUCCCUCAUCUCUUCUUGAAGUGUGAAACGCAGGAAGUGUCUGGUUUAGUUAAACCAGUCUGUUAAUGUGUCAGUAUGGGCUCCAGUGCACUGUCUCUCACACUCUUGCUGAUGUCCUUCAUCCACUCUGGACUCACUCAAGAUUCACCCAGAUCUACUCUGACUGUGACUCCAGACAGUCCUGUAUUCACUGGAGAGAGAGUGAGUCUGACGUGUGUGAUAACACCUUAUUACAGUGACUGGAGAUAUG